rnacentral:lncRNA from 1 species
CUGAGUUAUCAGGUUCAGCAACGCUUACCACCGAAAUGGGUCUGAAUCUUGCAGAAUCUGGCUCUCCUCUGGAAGGUGGAUCUGCCCCAACAAGGAGAGAAGAGAAUCUAGGGACCAUGUACUCCAAGAUGCUGAAGCCUCCACAGCCUUCUAAGACCAGAAAUUGGACUAGCUGGAUUAGGAGACAUGAUGAAGAUGGAAAGAAAUGUUGGCUACCUCUGAGGUUUCUUGCGGUCAGACUUCCAGAACAAGUGGCAGUGCCUGACCUUCGAGAGCAGCGCUUCUCUCUGGCCCUGUUUGAACAUAUGAACCUCACGACUGUGGACAGUCUGCAGAAAUGUGUCUUCAGCUUCCACAGCAACUGUCAGGAGUGAGUGACUACCUUUGCCUGAGAACCUGAACCAUGAACCAAGAGAGAAAGCUGGAGAAUGAAAGACUGGCCAGAGGAAGCAGAGGUGCCUCUCUCAAAGUGGUAGGUUUUGACUGACAUUGAACGACAGUGAGAGGAGCCAGAGUGUUUGGACUGGCAGUGUUGCAGUAGUCACAGCUGAUUAUGCACAACCAACUCUGGAGGAUGGACACUCAGGUAGAUGCCGGAUGCAAGAGGAGCUAGAGAGGAGAAGAUCCGAGGAAUUGCAUAGGACUGACUUUUGGCCAUGAGUGCAAUGAAGAUGAUGAUGGAGCUGACGCUGACGCUGCUCGCUUCUGCGUCCUGCCAGGUGACAAGGGGCCACGCCGGCUUUCGGCGCUGAUGCUGCGGACGGAGGGCGGGCUGUGGCUGCAGGUGGAACUGCUGACUCCACACCGGAUUUGGAACCGCUCUACCCACCCAUCUCAUCAGGAUCCCAGAAUCAACAGAGCAGUUGCUCAUGCUCGAACCUCACCAAGUACCAGCAGGGGGCGCGGUGGAACCAGGCUGGUGCCUUUGAGUCCAAGAGCCUUCCUAGCAUCCCUGAGCUAUAUAGACUAUCCUAUAAGAACCACAGUAGAUGUCUAAACAUCUAGCCUAGGCCCGACUGUAUGGACCAGGCUGGUCUCAAAUUUGCAGCAAACUUCUGCUGAGACCUCACCACCCGAGUGCUG